rnacentral:rRNA from 1 species
CUACGUGCCAGCAGCCGCGGUAAUACGUAGGGUGCGAGCGUUGUCCGGAAUUACUGGGCGUAAAGAGCUCGUAGGUGGUUUGUUGCGUCGUCUGUGAAAUUCCGGGGCUUAACUUCGGGGUGGCAGGCGAUACGGGCAUAACUAGAGUGCUGUAGGGGAGACUGGAAUUCCUGGUGUAGCGGUGGAAUGCGCAGAUAUCAGGAGGAACACCGAUGGCGAAGGCAGGUCUCUGGGCAGUAACUGACGCUGAGGAGCGAAAGCAUGGGGAGCGAACAGGAUUAGAUACCCUGGUAGUCCAUGCUGUAAACGGUGGGCGUUAGGUGUGGGGACUGGUUUUGGUUUCUGUGCCGUAGCUAACGCAUUAAGCGCCCCGCCUGGGGAGUACGGCCGCAAGGCUAAAACUCAAAGGAAUUGACGGGGGCCCGCACAAGCGGCGGAGCAUGUGGAUUAAUUCGAUGCAACGCGAAGAACCUUACCUGGGUUUGACAUGCACCAGACGGUUGUAGAGAUACGUA